CCUACGGGGGGCAGCAGUGAGGAAUAUUGGUCAAUGGACGAGAGUCUGAACCAGCCAAGUAGCGUGAAGGAUGACUGCCCUAUGGGUUGUAAACUUCUUUUAUAUGGGAAUAAAAUGUUCCACGUGUGGGAUUUUGUAUGUACCAUAUGAAUAAGGAUCGGCUAACUCCGUGCCAGCAGCCGCGGUAAUACGGAGGAUCCGAGCUUUAUCCGGAUUUAUUGGGUUUAAAGGGAGCGUAGGUGGAUUGUUAAGUCAGUUGUGAAAGUUUGCGGCUCAACCGUAAAAUUGCAGUUGAAACUGGCAGUCUUGAGUACAGUAGAGGUGGGCGGAAUUCGUGGUGUAGCGGUGAAAUGCUUAGAUAUCACGAAGAACUCCGAUUGCGAAGGCAGUUCACUGGACUGCAACUGACACUGAGGCUCGAAAGUGUGGGUAUCAAACAGGAUUAGAUACCCGUGUAGUC
rnacentral:rRNA from 1 species